rnacentral:lncRNA from 1 species
AACAUUCGAUUUAUAUCGAAAUCCCAAAGGGCUAAAUAUAAGAGGUACAAAAUUUUGGGCAUGUAAUCAUAUGAAACCCGUUAAACGAAAACACCAAAUGACACUUAAAACACACGUGUAUACAGAUAAGAACAUGUGUCAUUAUUGAAGGUUUCUUCGUCAUGCAUCGCCGCUUCAAAAUUUUGGCCGCCGAACUUCGCCGCCGGCUACAUCGUAUCUCUCAAACACCACCACAACGCUCCAAUUAGGUACCUCUGUAUGCUUCUUCUGCAUGAUUUAACCAGUAAGAUCAACUUAGAUCCCGAUUUGACCAAUGAAGCUGCUCUCCUCCGUAAAAUCAACUCCGAUCAUCACUAUCUCGAGACAAAACACCUCCGCCUUAACAAAGGCUUUUCAUAAGAGGACUUGGGGAGAUAUAACUCUCAGCCAGGAGAAGAUGAUAACAUCAUUGGAUUAGAGACACCAAACAUUGUCACCUGGAUCAUGGCCAUCACAUGCGAGAAAAGAAGCUUAACCUUUUGCUGCAACUAAAAUCAGGAGUAAAAUCUUCAAUCUUGAACAAUCCUACUCCAUAAAACAUUUUUAUCUAGCAAAAGUAUAGAAACCAAAAACUAAAAUAAAAAACUAGAAAAAUCCGGUUAAAGCCGGAAUAGUAUUAUCCUAUCUAAGUCGGAAUCCGAUAAGAACUAAAAAAACAUCGAUCAAAAGAUCGAAAAACAAGAGAGAAACAAGGAAAGAAGCAAAAAACUUUCAGGAAUCGUCUCUUCAAUCACCCUUAGGAGAGAGAAAAGAGCAAAUCCUAGAUCAAGAAAGUGGUUCAAGAAUCAAAAAGAACAAUUAAUGCUUUAAUUAAGAACUUUAUUAGAUCAUGAAAGUGGUUCAAGAUCCAAAAAAUGAAUAAAAUUGUAGAGAGAAAAUAAAGAAAGAGGCUAG